GACAGAGGUGCCGAGCGUUAGGCGGAAUCACUGGGCUUAAAGCGUGUGUAGGCGGACCCGUCAGUGUCUUGUGAAAUCCCACGGCUCAACCGUGGAACGGCUGGGCAUACUGCGGGUCUUGAGACACCUAGGGGCGAGCGGAACAGGCGGUGGAGCGGUGAAAUGCGUAGAUAUCGCCUGGAACGCCGACGGUGAAAACAGCUCGCUGGGGGUGUUCUGACGCUGAGGUGCGAAAGCGUGGGGAGCAAACAGG
rnacentral:rRNA from 1 species